GUGGAGAGCAAGAGCAGUUGUGAGAAAAAACAUGAAAAAAUGGGUUCAAAAACAUGUCACACACAAAUUCAAUUUAUUUCAGUUUACUGUUCUAAAAAACUUCUUUACUGCCAUAAACAAAACAUGUAUUAAAAGUCUUCUUUUCCUUCAACCCCUUAAGCCCUGAGGGUAUUUUCAGAAUUUUUUUUCUGAGUGACACAAAAAAGUAAAGACUCAUAACUCCAAAACUAUAGCAAGGAGAGUCAAAAGGUUGGUAGUGUUUGAAAGAAAACUUUUUAAUAUAAUAAAUAAAUAAAUAAAUAAAUAAAUAAAUAAAUAAAUAAAUAUGGAUAUUCUCAUGCUGAGAAACUGCAAAAAAAAAAAAAAAAAAAUGGUAGCAGGUUCAUUCUUUUUUGGUGAUGUUCCUCUAUAUGUGAGCUGUAUCUGGAUCAUCGUUUCGUUGUGAUCAAAAGUUACAGCAUUUGGAAUCAAGGUAGCCUUUUUUGUUUAUCCAUUGGCGCCCCCUGGUGGGCAUUUUUAAAACGGCUCUUUCGCGUGGAGUAACUCUUGACAAACACAUCGGGUUAUUUUGAUCUUGGACUUAUUUCAUUUAGGAGAAUCCAGUUUAACUGAGCACAUCUGCAGCACUCACAGCAUUAACUCCUGACAGCUGCUGAGAGAGCUGCAGCAGGAUAGCAAUGAUAAUGGGCUGCCGGUACAGAGGAGAGCGAAAGAGCUCAGCAAUGGACACUUUCCUCUCCAUCUCCAUCCUCCUCUUUUCCUCCUUCAUCUCAGCCAAGUCUUCACUGACCUCCAUACGGCCAGUCAGGCGCCGCAAAGCUGAAGAAGAGAGGAAAUAAGCUCAAUGGACACAACCGGAUGUUCGGGAACGCACUGGCUGUGUGAAUGGAACUGGACUGGACAACUAGAUUUCAUACAGUGCGAGAGAGCCAAUCUUUGCUGAACGUGGGUUUGUUUUUCAUAGUCAUGUUUCCUGUUAUUAUGUCAUGGGAUUUCCUGUUCCCCUGAUCUGCGGCCUAUACCACGAAGGCAGUUUAGGUGGCUAGACAGGUAUGUUUCAGUUUAGUUUGUGCCAACCAUGGGUUUUAGGCACCAUGAAAGUGGCUCUACUUUUAGCGGUGUUCAUCGCCGUAACUUACGCUCCAUGGCUAACCUGCUUCGGUGAAAACUGAAACUGGGAAAUCUCAAACUGAAAUGGGACCAAUCAGCUGUGAGCAAAGUGAUGUAAACCUGACGAAAAAAAAAAAAAAUCCCACAGUUUCUCUUGCUCCAAAUUAAAAAUCACUACAAAGUAACAGAUUUUUAAAGAUAAAAUCAUCUGUCUUUUAGAAAUUAUUUAUUAGAAUUAUUUUAUAUGAUUUAUAUAUUAUAUAAUUUUUAUACACUUAAUCCAUAACACAUGAGCAAUUUUAGUUUAACAAUUAUUAUAACGCAUUUACUUUAAAUGUUUAUAAAUGUAUAACAUCAUUUGUAAUAUAAAUACGCUUUACAAUCAAUAGAUAAAGCUUUAAAAUGACUACAUGUGAGCUUGCAUGUUCAAGUCUCUCUCUCUCACUCUCUCUUUCUCUAUAUAUAUAUACACACACAUAUCUAUAUAUAUUAUCAACUAUAAACUAACUUCACAACUUUCACUGAUAUAGCAGGAUAUUUUCCUCUCGAUGUGUAAAUGCAUUUAUGUACUUCAUAUUCUUCAAUCUCUUCAAUCAUCGGCAGAAAAUCAUGCUGACUCUCUUGCGAGAAGUUAAUCACAGUUUUGCAUGUUUCAAGGCAUGUGAUUAGCUGUUCGCUACUGAUGUCACACUUUCAUGUGCACACAUUCUAUGGUUAUUGAUGAACUCAAGAUCAAAGACUGAGCUGACAGAGAAAGUUGAUGAUCAACAUCAUGGUACCAACAAAGCCUGACUGGAUUGGUUUGGGUUGGGUUUGUCAACUCGAAACUGAUCCUGCAACCCUGAGUUUGUUCAGCUACCAUCAUGGUACGGGCCCUACUGAUGUUACAUAUGACACCUUGUAGCUAACUUUCACAAAAAUCCUUACACACAUAUAUAUUUUUUUAGAUAAUGGUAGACAUUCAAAUUUAAUGUUAUUAGCUGCUGAAAUUUGACUGUCCUUUUUUUUUAAGGUAUAUUAUAACUAAUAUGGAGUUAUAAUGUAUUUUUAGCUGUUGUGCCCCCUAUUAGUGGAAUUUUACAAAACUUGGUGUGUGUCCGAAGAACGUCCUGUUGUCUAUAUGUGUCAGGUUUUGUUAAGCCUGGACACUGCGUUCAGCAGCUAUAGGUCAACACUUAAAAAUAGGCAUUGCCUGACCAAUUAAUUAACUUGUAUCUCUGCAAUGCUUAGACGAAUCAAAAUUCUUUUGAUAACUUUUUGCCAGCACUGUCACUAGCUGCUGUGUGCCUAUUUUGGUGAAGAUCGAACAAACAGCCUAAUUCUAAUAUGCUGAUUUGGUGCUCAAGAAACAUUUCUUAAUGUUGAAAAUAGUGGUACUCCUUAACAUUAUAAAUGUCUUUACUGUCACUUUUGACCAAUUUAAUCUUACUGACCCAAAACUUGUGUGUGUAAUGUGCGUACCAGAAGUAUUAUGGCCCUUUGAAACAGCUUUUGGAAAAAAUACCCUGAAUAACUUUAAGAAGUGAUAUGAAGAUCCAUGGUAGAGAUUAAAAUUCAAACUCAAACUCAGGAGAUAAAGUCCUGGCACUAGAACAAAGAGAUUCCCAAACAAUAACACAAGCAUUAGCUGUAUGUUAUUCUGGUCCCAUUUGUGUAAAUGUCACAUCUAAAUGUUUCCUCUCACAUGUUCUGUCAAAACACACUCUAGAAUUAGAUGAUCUUAGAUUUUGAUGUAUAUCAUAAGAGGAGAACAAAUGUUUUCACAUUUCAGCAGCUUAUGAUGCACUUUAGAGUUAAAUAUAAUGAAACUUUAUAUUCUUUGGACAACAUUAUAUCCAGCUGUUUCAAAGUGAAGUUUUAACAAUACAGUGAUAUUAUGUCAAAAGUAUCAUAUGGAUG